rfam:Ictidomys tridecemlineatus contig066055, whole genome shotgun sequence.
GGGGCUGUGGCUCAUUGGUAGAGCGCCUGCCUGGCACUUAUGAGGCACUGGGUUCGAUCCUCAGCACCA